GGCUCGAUGGUCUAGGGGUAUGAUUCUCGCUUUGGGUGCGAGAGGUCCCGAGGUUAAAAUCAGUCGGCCCG